UACGAAGGGGGCAAGCGUUGUUCGGAAUUACUGGGCGUAAAGGGCGCGUAGGCGGCUUAUCAAGUCAGGCGUGAAAUUCCCGGGCUCAACCUGGGGGCUGCGCUUGAUACUGAUGAGCUUGAAUGCGGGAGAGGAUAGUGAAAUUCCCAGUGUAGAGGUGAAAUUCGUAGAUAUUGGGAAGAACACCGGUGGCGAAGGCGGCUAUCUGGCCCGUAAUUGACGCUGAGGCGCGAAAGCUAGGGGAGCGAACGGG
rnacentral:rRNA from 1 species